CCGAACAGCUCAAGAAAGAAAAGUUAGACACUGUAUGUUUUCUUAAAAAGGUAUGUCUUCAGUUUGGAUUUGAAAAUCUUCAGGUUGUUUAUUGUCUUUAGCUCCAGUGGAAGAUGAUUCCAGAGAGUGGAAUCUCUGAAAACCACU